GCAUUGAUGGUGUAGCGGUAACAUUGGGUCUUCCCAUCAGCCAGACGAAGGUGAAGAAGUUGGCCUAGCUCCGGGUUCGACUCCCGGUCAAUGCA